rnacentral:rRNA from 1 species
UGGGGAAUAUUGGACAAUGGGCGCAAGCCUGAUCCAGACAUGCCGCGUGAGUGAUGAAGGCCCUAGGGUUGUAAAGCUCUUUCACCGGUGAAGAUAAUGACGGUAACCGGAGAAGAAGCCCCGGCUAACUUCGUGCCAGCAGCCGCGGUAAUACGAAGGGGGCUAGCGUUGUUCGGAUUUACUGGGCGUAAAGCGCACGUAGGCGGACUAUUAAGUCAGGGGUGAAAUCCCGGGGCUCAACCCCGGAACUGCCUUUGAUACUGGUAGUCUUGAGUUCGAGAGAGGUGAGUGGAAUUCCGAGUGUAGAGGUGAAAUUCGUAGAUAUUCGGAGGAACACCAGUGGCGAAGGCGGCUCACUGGCUCGAUACUGACGCUGAGGUGCGAAAGCGUGGGGAGCAAACAGG